GCUGGGUGUGGUGGUGUACGCCUGUAGUCCCAGCUACUCAGGAGGCUGAGGCAGGAGAAUCACUUGAACCCAGGAGGCUGAGGUUGCAGUGAGCCAAGAUCCCGCCACUGCACUCCAGCCUGGGCGACAGAGCAAGACUCUGCCUCAA
ensembl:misc_RNA Metazoa_SRP Metazoan signal recognition particle RNA